UGCAGUUAGCUCUGGAACUUGAGGAGAGG
rnacentral:piRNA from 1 species